UUGAACGCUGGCGGCAUGCCUUACACAUGCAAGUCGAACGGCAGCGCGGGAGCAAUCCUGGCGGCGAGUGGCGAACGGGUGAGUAAUACAUCGGAACGUGCCCAAUCGUGGGGGAUAACGCAGCGAAAGCUGUGCUAAUACCGCAUACGAUCUACGGAUGAAAGCAGGGGAUCGCAAGACCUUGCGCGAAUGGAGCGGCCGAUGGCAGAUUGGGUAGUUGGUGAGGUAAAGGCUCACCAAGCCUUCGAUCUGUAGCUGGUCUGAGAGGACGACCAGCCACACUGGGACUGAGACACGGCCCAGACUCCUACGGGAGGCAGCAGUGGGGAAUUUUGGACAAUGGGCGAAAGCCUGAUCCAGCCAUGCCGCGUGCAGGAUGAAGGCCUUCGGGUUGUAAACUGCUUUUGUACGGAACGAAACGGUCUUUUCUAAUAAAGAAGGCUAAUGACGGUACCGUAAGAAUAAGCACCGGCUAACUACGUG
rnacentral:rRNA from 1 species